CGUUGUACACACCGCCCGUCACACCAUGGGAGCGGGUUCUGCCAGAAGUAGUUAGCCUAACCGCAAGGAGGGCGAUUACCACGGCAGGGUUCGUGACUGGGGGUG
rnacentral:rRNA from 1 species